UACGAAGGGGGCUAGCGUUGCUCGGAAUUACUGGGCGUAAAGCGCACGUAGGCGGCUCUUUAAGUCGGGGGUGAAAUCCUGGAGCUCAACUCCAGAACUGCCUUCGAUACUGAAGAGCUCGAGUCCGGGAGAGGUGAGUGGAACUGCGAGUGUAGAGGUGAAAUUCGUAGAUAUUCGCAAGAACACCAGUGGCGAAGGCGGCUCACUGGCCCGAUACUGACGCUGAGGUGCGAAAGCGUGGGGAGCAAACGGG
rnacentral:rRNA from 1 species